GAGUUCAGACUUGUGCUGUUUAGAUAUUUGUAAUCAAAAAACAUUUGUUCAGAAAGCAGCACUUAGGGCUGCCUGUUCUGUACCCUGCAGUCGGACAGUUAACUGAAAAAUGGCGCCCUUCUGACAUUCUAAGGCAGCUAGACUGGCAGCCGAGUAAGGGAGAGUGGUGAGGUGGUGCGGGGAGGCUGGGGAAGCAAUGUGAGGAUUGUUCUCCAGAGCAGGUAGGAGCAGGCAGGAGUGGGACAGAAGGGGAGCUUGUGACUGGGGCAGUGAAAAUAAACGAUUGGCUCUUAUCAAUCACUUGCACCACUAACCGUUUGUAUUUUCUUUACUGACCUUUCCCUCUUGGGAUAUCUGGUCUGGUGGGCUGGGAAGCCAAAAUAUCCCAAUCUUUACUUUCCCGUGCCUUUGUGCUAUUUGGCUGAGGCAUGGAGACUGCAGUUGGUGGUUCCCUUAUAUAGGAUUCCCAGGCCAAAGAGGCCUGGGGACUAUUCUCAAUUGCAGAGCAGAAUAGCUGCCACCUUCUAUAUACCCACUGCUGAAGUCCCAUAAAAUCUUGGAGAGAAUGGGAGCACAGCCCUCAGCCUGAAGAUUCUGAUUUGCCAGUCUCUAGUCUUUGUCUUCCAAGGUUGCGAGAUGCAAGAGGUCUCUGAAAUCUUCUGUGAGAGUGUCCUCUUACAUUGUAAGAGAAGGAACGUUUCUCAGGGUUUCAGCUCACACAGAAAUGAAGCAGGAUUCUUUUCACUGCAGCAGGAUAUGUAUAUAGGUGAAUCCUGUGGUGUGGGCUUUCAGGCCCAGGUGCUGAGAAUAGCAACUAUUUUGUACAGUGUGGAGGGCUCAUGCCCUGGUGGAUUUUUUGAUACACAGGUAGAGAAUAAAUAAUAAAAGGGAGUGGGGAUGGGAGGCAGCUCAGUGGGGCUGCUGAGACUUGGGAAGAGUGUGAGUGUGAACAUGUGUGCGUGAAAGCACUCGCCCUUCCCAACUUGAAACAAGAUUCCUUCUGGGUUGCUUUCCUUGCAUGUCCCCAGAGAGGCCUCUAGCAGAGAGACUCCAGUUGGGAUAGUAGUUUUGUCAACUUUACCUACACCUUCCCAGUUCUUGACAAAUAACUAGAGGUUGUUGGGUUCAAGAAUAUGGGUGGAAUGUGGGAAUGCCAUUUCAAUGUUUAGCUUCAGUUUUAAUUCAUCUUUCUCUUCAGCACUGUGUCAACCAAGAGCUUUCUCAGCAAGCACCACAUAUUGCAGCACUUUGUAGUGAGAGAAAACUCUGGGUCAUACUAUUAAAUGCUUCACUUCCAUUUCCUCACCUGGACAGUUCUCUGUUUAAAAUUUUGUGCUGAGAGUUGAUCUUUCCCUCUCACAAUGUUACUGCAAUACAGCCCUUCUUCAGAUGUGCAGAUCCUUAAUCUGGCCCUCUAGUUGUCCCCGUCUGUCAUAAUGUACCCUUUUGCUCAAGUAUCUCUCACCCCAAGGCUGGAACAGGGGGCUGGUGGGAGAUAAGUUUGCUUGCUCAUAAUGAUGUCCUUUCUCUGGGUACUUACUUCCCCCUGGUGCUUUCAGAUGGAUUUGUGUGUGGCAGUGGGUGAAGUGAUUGCAUGAAAUUUUCUGUAACCCACUAACUUUGUAUUAUUAAAAGCUUGAGAAAGUUUUGCUUUUAGUGUCAGGGCAAGGAAAAAAACUGUAGCCCAAAGAAAUACCCUUAGGGUAAGAUUAUGUUACAAUAGAAAAUUGAAUUUCCUGGGGCAGAGGCUGCCUCCCCAUUUUGGAUGUUUAGGCCUCUAGUGAAAAAUAUCUUUUUAUGGUCCCUGAGGUGGAUACGGAUGCUAGGGCUCUCCAGUGGGUGUAGAGGUGGGGAACAAAGUUUAAACCACUGUAGCUUUUUUUGUGUUUUUUUUUUUUAAGUGGGGGAACAGAGAGGGAAGGUACUCAUUGUUGAUAUUUGUUACUAGAAAGUCUUUUAAGAAAGCUGGUUUUCUUGGUGAAUGGAGAAUGAAACUGCCACAUCCUUGUUGGUUUAGUCCCAGAGAUCACUCACAGCAACACUAGACGUCUGGUUUUGUUUCUGUUUGUCUUUUUAUUAUGAAAAAACUAUGUCAAGGGGGGAAAUGUGGGUUAUGAUAACCAGAGAAAUCCUUAGCCUUGUUUUCCUUAGAAGACUUGUUCAGUGUUUUAUCAGAUGUCUGUUGUAGUUGUAGAUGGAAAAGCUUGUGGUAAAAACAAACACCACAUGGAACCUGUAAAUGUUUUUGCACAGCCUGUAAAGCAUUCUUGGAAGUGGCCAGUAAAGAAGGGUUUUACCAUUUAAAAAGAAAAAUGUAACCGUGUCAUUGUUUACAUCUGUAACUUUUUCCUCCCCUGUUCUCAUCAACAUUAUGGCAAAAAUGUAGGCACAGUAGCUUCCAGUUUUAGAAUAAAUAACCAUUUGAAUUGAAUUCA